rnacentral:rRNA from 1 species
GAUCAAGGUAUGAAGGGCGUACGGUGGAUGCCUUGGCACUAGGAGCCGAUGAAGGACGCGACGAACAGCGAUAUGCUUCGGGGAGCAGUAAGUAUGCUUUGAUCCGAAGAUUUCCGAAUGGGGGAACCCACCAUCUGUAAUGGGAUGGGACAUGUUACAUGAAUACAUAGUGUAGCGUGAGGCAGACCCGGGGAACUGAAACAUCUAAGUACCCGGAGGAAGAGAAAGCAAAUGCGAUUCCCUGAGUAGCGGCGAGCGAAACGGGAACAGCCCAAACCGAAGAGCAUGCUCUUCGGGGUUGUAGGACACUCUAUACGGAGUCAAAAAGGAA